rnacentral:rRNA from 2 species
UACGGAGGGUGCGAGCGUUAAUCGGAAUUACUGGGCGUAAAGGGUGCGUAGGUUGCUGCUUAAGUUAGCUGUGAAAUACCCGGGCUUAACCUGGGGGAGUCAGCUAAGACUGAGGAGCUUGAGUAUAGGAGAGGGUAGUGGAAUUUCCGGUGUAGCGGUGAAAUGCGUAGAGAUCGGAAGGAACACCAGUGGCGAAGGCGGCUACCUGGCCAGAUACUGACACUGAGGCACGAAAGCGUGGGGAGCAAACAGG